GCCCCGGGAGGAAAGGGGGACUGUUAGCAGCAUAGGAUUGAGGAGUUGGAAGAGACCUUUAAGACAGCUGGUCAUUAUGCCGACCGGGUGUCCGCGCUAAGUUCGGUAUCAAUAUGGUGACCUCCUGGGAGCAGGAGGCCAUCAGGUUGCCUAAGGACAGGAGAACUGGCCCAGGUCAGAAAGGGACCCAGGUCAGGACUCCCGCACCAAUCAGUAGUGGGACUGUUCCUGGGCAAUAUAGCAAGAUCUUGGUUCUUAAAAGUAAAAAUACAGAACAGCUCAU
rnacentral:SRP_RNA from 1 species